rnacentral:rRNA from 1 species
AGCAGCCGCGGUAAUUCCAGCUCCAAUAGCGUAUAUUAAAGUUGUUGCAGUUAAAAAGCUCGUAGUUGAAUUUCGGGGUUAGCAGGUCGGUCGUGCCAUCGGUAUGAACUGGUCUCGCUGAUCCCUCCCUCUUGACGAACUGUGAUGCCAUUAAUUUGGUGUCGCAGGGAAUCAGGACUGUUACUUUGAAAAAUUAGAGUGUUUAAAGCAGGCUCACGCUUGAAUACAUUAGCAUGGAAUAAUGAAAUAGGACGUUUGAUCCUAUUUUGUUGGCUUCUAGGAUUGACGUAAUGAUUAAUAGGGAUAGUUGGGGCAUUAGUAUUCAAUUGUCAGAGUGAAAUUCUUGGAUUUAUUG